CACGUAGGAAUCUACCCCGAAGUGAGGGAUAAGCACCAGAAAUGGUGUCUAAUACCGCAUGUGCUCUUAGGAGUAAAGCUCCGGCGCUUUGGGGAGAGCCUGCGUAUGAUUAGCUUGUUGGUGAGGUAAUGGCUCACCAAGGCGAUGAUCAUUAGCUGGUCUGAGAGGAUGAUCAGCCAGACUGGGACUGAGAACGGCCCAGACUCCUACGGGAGGCAGCAGUAGGGAAUUUUCCACAAUGGGCGAAAGCCUGAUGGAGCAACGCCGCGUGCAGGAUGAAUGUCUUCGGAUUGUAAACUG
rnacentral:rRNA from 1 species